GCCAGUGUGGCACAGUAGUUUGAGCGUUGGACUAUGACUCUGGAGAUGAGGGUUCGAUUCCUUGCUCUGCCA